rfam:Pan troglodytes isolate Yerkes chimp pedigree #C0471 (Clint) chromosome 5, whole genome shotgun sequence.
GCCGGGCGUGGUGGCACACACCUGUAAUCCCAGCUACUCAGGAGGCUGAGGCAGGAGAAUUGCUUGAGCCCGGGAGGCAGAGACUGCAGUGAGCCGAGAUCGUGCUACUGCACUCCAGCCUGGGCGACAGAGCGAGACUCUGUCUCAA